rnacentral:tRNA from 1 species
GGACUGUUAGCUCAGCUGGUAGAGCAACUGACUCUUAAUCAGUGGGUCUAGGGUUCGAUUCCCUAACAGUCCACCA